rnacentral:rRNA from 1 species
UACGUAGGGGGCAAGCGUUGUCCGGAAUUAUUGGGCGUAAAGCGCGCGCAGGCGGUCGUUUAAGUCUGGUGUUUAAUCCCAGGGCUCAACCCUGGUACGCGCUGGAAACUGGGCGACUGGAGUGCAGAAGAGGAGAGUGGAAUUCCACGUGUAGCGGUGAAAUGCGUAGAUAUCUGGAGGAACACCGAUGGCGAAGGCAGCCCCCUGGGCUAACACUGACGCUCAUGCACGAAAGCGUGGGGAGCAAACAGG